UACGGGGGGGGCAAGCGUUGUUCGGAAUUACUGGGCGUAAAGGGCUCGUAGGUGGCCAACUAAGUCAGACGUGAAAUCCCUCGGCUUAACCGGGGAACUGCGUCUGAUACUGGAUGGCUUGAGUUUGGGAGAGGGACGCGGAAUUCCAGGUGUAGCGGUGAAAUGCGUAGAUAUCCGGAGGAACACCGGUGGCGAAGGCGGCUUCCUGGACCGACACUGACGCUGAUGCGCGAAAGCUAGGGGAGCAAACGGG
rnacentral:rRNA from 1 species